rnacentral:rRNA from 1 species
GAUGAACGCUGGCGGCGUGCCUAAUACAUGCAAGUCGAGCGAACGGAUGAGAAGCUUGCUCCUCUGACGUUAGCGGCGGACGGGUGAGUAACACGUGGAUAACCUACCUAUAAGACUGGGAUAACUUCGGGAAACCGGAGCUAAUACCGGAUAAUAUAUUGAACCGCAUGGUUCAAUAGUGAAAGACGGUUUUGCUGUCACUUAUAGAUGGAUCCGCGCCGCAUUAGCUAGUUGGUAAGGUAACGGCUUACCAAGGCAACGAUGCAUAGCCGACCUGAGAGGGUGAUCGGCCACACUGGAACUGAGACACGGUCCAGACUCCUACGGGAGGCAGCAGUAGGGAAUCUUCCGCAAUGGGCGAAAGCCUGACGGAGCAACGCCGCGUGAGUGAUGAAGGUCUUCGGAUCGUAAAACUCUGUUAUUAGGGAAGAACAAAUGUGUAAGUAACUAUGCACGUCUUGACGGUACCUAAUCAGAAAGCCACGGCUAACUACGUG